rnacentral:rRNA from 1 species
AACGAACGCUGGCGGCAGGCUUAACACAUGCAAGUCGAGCGCCCCGCAAGGGGAGCGGCAGACGGGUGAGUAACGCGUGGGAACGUACCUUUUGGUUCGGAACAACUCCGGGAAACUGGAGCUAAUACAGGAUAAGCCCUAACGGGGAAAGAUUUAUCGCCGAAAGAUCGGCCCGCGUCUGAUUAGCUAGUUGGUGAGGUAACGGCUCACCAAGGCGACGAUCAGUAGCUGGUCUGAGAGGAUGAUCAGCCACACUGGGACUGAGACACGGCCCAGACUCCUACGGGAGGCAGCAGUGGGGAAUAUUGGACAAUGGGCGCAAGCCUGAUCCAGCCAUGCCGCGUGAGUGAUGAAGGCCUUAGGGUUGUAAAGCUCUUUUGUCCGGGAAGAUAAUGACUGUACCGGAAGAAUAAGCCCCGGCUAACUUCGUG